AUACGGAGGAUGCAAGCGUUAUCCGGAUUUAUUGGGUUUAAAGGGUGCGCAGGUGGUUUAAUAAGUCAGUGGUGAAAGUCUGGCGCUUAACGUUAGGAUUGCCAUCGAUACUGUUAGACUUGAAUAUGGAUGAGGUAGGCGGAAUGUGUAGUGUAGCGGUGAAAUGCUUAGAUAUUACACAGAACACCGAUUGCGAAGGCAGCUUACUAAUCCAUCAUUGACGCUGAGGCACGAAAGCGUGGGGAUC
rnacentral:rRNA from 1 species